rnacentral:lncRNA from 1 species
AUGCUUCUACAAGCCUUGGAGUUUGCCCUCAGUCUUUCUGCACAACCUGUCCAGGGAAAAGAAGGGAAAGUGGGAAUAAUUCUGAUGGGUGGCCCUGAAGGUAGCUCCAGCAGGCACUGUGGAGUGCUUAGAGCUUGUUCAGAUGUUAAAAGUGCCAAGGUCAUCCACUGCAUCCUGGGCUAUCACCAGUCGUCUUGACUUUUGUCUUGCCACUGGACUAAACUUGGAAGUGAGUGAAGCUGACAGCUUUGUACAACUGCCUCACCUACAUCCAAUUCACAUGCAAGUUCAGACAUCAUCAGUCCUCUUCAAAAAUGAACAGUGAACAACAUUUACUAUUGUCUGCAAGACUUUGUCUUGAAUUUAUUUUAAUAUGAAAACAUUUUAACAAAAUUAAUUAAUACUUGGAAGAUAUUUAACAUAAUAUAAUCAUAUAUGAACUUAGUUUUGAUGUUGGACUUUUUUAUUUGAUCAGGUGGUUAAACUAUUUGCUUCAAUACUGGACACUCUAUUAAAUCUGGUUCUGUAUUACUAGAUUACUGUGGUCAUUUACUACCUAAUGUCUUAUAUACCUGAUCUAUUCCACUGAUCCACCAGUAUUUCUUAGCCAAUACCAGGUAGUAUUGAUGAUUACUGCUUCAUAAUAUGAUUUGAGAUCUGACAUAACCAGACCACCUUCCUUUGCAUUUUUUUCAUUAAUUCCUUGAUAUUCUUGACCUUUUGUUUUUCCAGAUGAAUUUUGUUGUUGUUUUUUCUAGCUCUAUAAAAUAAUAUUUUAUCCGAUUUCAUCAUAACUUUGUGAUUAUAACAAUGAUAGCAAAAUUUAUGUGGAUUUUCACAUGGCAUUCUGUCCAUCCUCAAGAUCAUAUGUUGGGAGACUGUAGCACCAGGGAAAUACAAGGUUUGGCCAGGUAUAUCAAGUACAUCAUUUUUUGGAAGCUAUGAGAAAGGAAUUAGUGAGGAAAAACUGGUCUGGGAAGAGGAAGGGAAUAAGCAUUUACAUAGCACCUAUCAUAGCACCGUACCAUGUUGUGCAUUUUAUAAAUAUCAUUUGAGACUUAUAACAACCCUGUAAGGUAAGUGCUGUUAUCUCUAUUUUACAGUAGAGGAAACUGAGGCAAACAGGGGUCAAAUGACUUGCUUAGGUUCACAUAGCUAAUAAAUACCUGAGGGUCUUUCUGACUCUAGGCCA